rnacentral:piRNA from 1 species
UAGGUACUCAACACCCAAUACGCUCUGGGA